rnacentral:pre_miRNA from 1 species
AGUGGUUCUCAACAGUUCAACAGUUCUUUGAGAAAAUUGUGAAAUGUUUAGGACCACUUG